rnacentral:rRNA from 1 species
UACGAAGGGGGCUAGCGUUGCUCGGAAUCACUGGGCGUAAAGCGCACGUAGGCGGCUUUUUAAGUCAGGGGUGAAAUCCUGGAGCUCAACUCCAGAACUGCCUUUGAUACUGAAGAUCUUGAGUUCGGGAGAGGUGAGUGGAACUGCGAGUGUAGAGGUGAAAAUUCGUAGAUAUUCGCAAGAACACCAGUGGCGAAGGCGGCUCACUGGCCCGAUACUGACGCUG